rnacentral:rRNA from 1 species
GAUGAACGCUGGCGGCGUGCUUAACACAUGCAAGUCGAACGGUGAAGGCGGAGCUUGCUCUGCUGGAUCAGUGGCGAACGGGUGAGUAACACGUGAGCAAUCUGCCCCUGACUCUGGGAUAAGCGCUGGAAACGGCGUCUAAUACUGGAUACGAGCUGCGAAGGCAUCUUCAGCAGCUGGAAAGAAUUUCGGUCAGGGAUGAGCUCGCGGCCUAUCAGCUUGUUGGUGAGGUAAUGGCUCACCAAGGCGUCGACGGGUAGCCGGCCUGAGAGGGUGACCGGCCACACUGGGACUGAGCAGCGGCCCAGACUCCUACGGGAGGCAGCAGUGGGAAUAUUGCACAAUGGGCGAAAGCCUGAUGCAGCAACGCCGCGUGGGGGACGACGGCCUUCGGGUUGUAAACCUCUUUUAGCAGGGAAGAAGCGAAAGUGACGGUACCUGCAGAAAAAGCGCCGGCUAACUACGUG